AACGAACGCUGGCGGCAGGCUUAACACAUGCAAGUCGAGCGCCCCGCAAGGGGAGCGGCAGACGGGUGAGUAACGCGUGGGAAUCUACCCAUCUCUACGGAAUAACGCAUGGAAACGUGUGCUAAUACCGUAUACGUCCUUCGGGAGAAAGAUUUGUCGGAGAUGGAUGAGCCCGCGUUGGAUUAGCUAGUUGGUGGGGUAAAGGCCAACCAAGGCGACGAUUCAUAGCUGGUCUGAGAGGAUGAUCAGCCACACUGGGACUGAGACACGGCCCAGACUCCUACGGGAGGCAGCAGUGGGGAAUAUUGGACAAUGGGCGCAAGCCUGAUCCAGCCAUGCCGCGUGAGUGAUGAAGGCCCUAGGGUUGUAAAGCUCUUUCACCGGUGAAGAUAAUGAUGGUAACCGGAGAAGAAGCCCCGGCUAACUUCGUGCCAGCAGCCGCCGCCGUAA
rnacentral:rRNA from 1 species